UAUCGGUAUGGGAUGGGGUCGCGUCCUAUCAGCUUGAUGGCGGGGUAACGGCCCACCAUGGCUUCGACGGGUAGCCGGCCUGAGAGGGCGACCGGCCACAUUGGGACUGAGAUACGGCCCAGACUCCUACGGGAGGCAGCAGUGGGGAAUAUUGCACAAUGGGCGCAAGCCUGAUGCAGCGACGCCGCGUGCGGGAUGACGGCCUUCGGGUUGUAAACCGCUUUUGACUGGGAGCAAGCCCUUCGGGGUGGGUGUACCUUUCGAAUAAGCACCGGCUAACUACGUGCCAGCAGCCGCGGUAAUACGUAGGGUGCAAGCGUUAUCCGGAAUUAUUGGGCGUAAAGGGCUCGUAGGCGGUUCGUCGCGUCCGGUGUGAAAGUCCAUCGCUUAACGGUGGAUCCGCGCCGGGUACGGGCGGG
rnacentral:rRNA from 1 species